rnacentral:rRNA from 1 species
GACCAGACUCCUACGGGAGGCAGCAGUGAGGAAUAUUGGUCAAUGGGCGAGAGCCUGAACCAGCCAAGUCGCGUGAAGGAAGACGGUAUUAUGUAUUGUAAACUUCUUUUAUAGGGGAAUAAAGGGGCCUACGUGUAGGUUUUUGCAAGUACCCUAUGAAUAAGCAUCGGCUAACUCCGUGCCAGCAGCCGCGGUAAUACGGAGGAUGCGAGCGUUAUCCGGAUUUAUUGGGUUUAAAGGGUGCGUAGGUUGGCUAAUAAGUCAGCGGUGAAAUCCCGGUGCUCAACACCGGGCCUGCCGUUGAAACUGUUAGUCUUGAGUGUGAACGAGGUAGGCGGAAUUCGUAGUGUAGCGGUGAAAUGCAUAGAUAUUACGAAGAACACCGAUAGCGCAGGCAGCUUACCAGGCCACAACUGACACUGAGGCACGAAAGUGUGGGUAUCAAACAGGAUUAGAUACCCUGGUAGUCCACACAGUAAACGAUGAAUACUAGGUGUUUGCGAUAUACCGUAAGCGCCCGAGCGAAAGCGUUAAGUAUUCCACCUGGGGAGUACGC